GAUGAACGCUGGCGGCGUGCCUAAUACAUGCAAGUCGAGCGAACAGACGAGGAGCUUGCUCCUCUGACGUUAGCGGCGGACGGGUGAGUAACACGUGGAUAACCUACCUAUAAGACUGGGAUAACUUCGGGAAACCGGAGCUAAUACCGGAUAAUAUAUUGAACCGCAUGGUUCAAUAGUGAAAGACGGUUUUGCUGUCACUUAUAGAUGGAUCCACGCCGCAUUAGCUAGUUGGUAAGGUAACGGCUUACCAAGGCAACGAUGCGUAGCCGACCUGAGAGGGUGAUCGGCCACACUGGAACUGAGGCACGGUCCAGACUCCUACGGGAGGCAGCAGUAGGGAAUCUUCCGCAAUGGGCGAAAGCCUGACGGAGCAACGCCGCGUGAGUGAUGAAGGUCUUCGGAUCGUAAAACUCUGUUAUUAGGGAAGAACAAAUGUGUAAGUAACUAUGCACGUCUUGACGGUACCUAAUCAGAAAGCCACGGCUAACUACGUG
rnacentral:rRNA from 1 species